rnacentral:lncRNA from 1 species
UAAGCGACUAAAACCCAAAUUCAUUAAACCUAAUUAAAUCUUUCUUUGUAACAUCGUGUAAUCAAAAGGCCUUCAUUGUUUUCUUCUUCAAGCACCUUCCACAGUGAACCACGCUUGUAUUUUCUUUAGCCAAAAACGACAUUCUUUACCGUGUUGACGGCCACCGUGGGUCACCACUUCACGGAUUCAAGGAAGAUACAGGCAUGAAAAAAGAAUAAGGCAAUAAGGACCUGGAAGCGGACGUCCAGACUCAUACGAUCUACCUCCAUUAUUCCUCGCUGAAAUCAGCUAUCGAAUGAUGCAGGAGCACACAAGAACAUAGAACAAAAAGAAACAAAAGAGGUGUUUGGAUUCGAACUCAAAUCUAAAUACUAACAAAUUAAGUGAUAUUAAUCAAUCUAUGUUGACGCGUCCUUGGGUUCAGG